rnacentral:siRNA from 1 species
AUGGAACAUUUGAGGAAGAAGCA